rnacentral:lncRNA from 1 species
CCACGGGGCCGCCUGGAGAGGUGCUGGGAGCUGGGUGGAGCUUAGAGGAAUUAAACUUUGGCCCUGCGCCUCGUCCAGCCUAGGUUCCACCCUUUUCUGGGAACGUGAGUAUCAACCAAGGCUGGAGUGCAGUGGCACCAUCUCGGCUCACUGCAACCUCUGGCUCCCAGGUUCAAGCGAUUCUCCUGCCUCAGCCCCCUGAGUAGCUGGGAUUACAGGCACGCGCCACCACUCCCAGUUUACACCCCGCCACUCCUGAGCACCGCACACCGGCUUCCUCCCAGUCCCUCAUCUGAGAACUCAUGAAGCCACUUGGAAUCCCUCUCUGCUUUGCCUGGCUCAUUCCAUGUCAAUUUCAGAUCUUCACUUCAGGUCAGCUCCAAGGAGGCUAUCCUUGCCCAUCUUCCUAAAAUAGAGCUCUCAAAACCUGGCUGUUUUCCUUCAGAGCACUGGCCUCCAAUUGCUCCGGUAGAUUGCAAAUGACCUGCUUUCUUUCUGUUCCCGGGCGUUUGGACCCCUGUCUUGGACCGCUGUCGGAUAGUAAAUCCCAAGUAAGGUACCUGCCGUCGGCAGAUUUGAGCUUUCUUCUUGGACACCUAAUACCCAGAGUCCUCCAGGCUCCGGUAGAUUGCAAAUGACCUGCUUUCUUUCUGUUCCCGGGCGGCAUCGGACCCGUCGGAGAGUAAAUCCCAAGUAAGGUACCUGCCGUUGGCAGAUUUGAGCUUUCUUCUUGGACACCUAAUACCCACAGUCCUCCAGUAAAUCCCAAGCAAGGUACCUGCCGUCAGCAGAUUUGAGCUUUCUUCUUGGACACCUAAUACCCACAGUCCUCCAGGCUCCGGUAGAUUGCAAAUGACCUGCUUUCUUUCUGUUCCCGGGCUGCGUUCGGACCCCUGUCGGAUAGUAACUCCCAAGUAAGGUACCUGCCGUCGGCAGAUUGGAGCUUUCUUCUUGGAGACCUAAUACCCACAGUCCUCCAGAAAAACAAACAAAGACAUGGAUUUACUGUGCAUAUUAGCAGAUCCAUACUGGAAAAUGCAUGGAGGUUUCAUAUACACCACUUACAGGUUUCCAAAGCCACAAUUUCCUUCAUAUGUUCAAACUCUUCAGGAUGCAGAAAGGCAGUGAACUCCUCCGGAGUAGCUGUCAGGUCACCAUUGAGGUCUGCAGCUUUGAAUCUUCUCUCAUCACGUGGCAGCAUCUUUUUAAAGGUGUGAUGAUCUGAAGAAUCAUGAAACUCUGCGGGGUUUCCUAGGUUUUCAGCUCCUCAGUAGUGACAAAGCCAUACCCAUCAUUGUCGAUUCGAUCAACAAUCUUCCCUAGCCUCUCCUUGCUCUCGUCCGGGGUGAGCUCGUCGAAGUUCUUGGAGUCCUCCUUGCCCAGGAAGGCCUCGUGGUCGUACUGGAAGCUCUGGUUGUCCUCAGGGGGCCGCUCGCCCAGCUCCGAGUCGGGCCGCACCACGCGCUCUUUGCGCACCGUGGGCUUGGCCCGCAGAACCCGCGGCGCCAGCACCAGCGCCAGCAGCAGCCCCAGGGCUAACCCCAGGCGGCCACCGCGCGCCAUCGUCCCGAGGAGAGGGCGGCCGGGAGGGAGACGCUGAGCGAGCGACAACAGCGGCAGCUCGGGAAUGGGGGCUCGGAGCGCGGCGGCCAAGUUUUAUGUUAUGUAUAUUUUACAAGUAAAAAAAUUUUUUCACCUCAGCCUGAACUGAACACUAGCUGACAGACGUUUUGAUUUCUUUGACCAUCACGGAAUCGUGGCCAAGCGCGGUGGCUCACAUCUGUAAUCCCAACACUUUGGGAGGUCAAGAUGGGCGGAUUGCUUGAAUCCAGGUGUUUGAGAUCAGCCUGGGCAACAUGACAAAACCCUGUUUCUAGUAAAAAUACAAAAAUUAACCAGG